rnacentral:rRNA from 1 species
GACAGAGGUGCCGAGCGUUAGGCGGAAUCACUGGGCUUAAAGCGCGUGUAGGUGGGUCGUUAAGUGUCCGCGUGAAAUCCCACGGCUCAACCGGGGAAGUGGCGCCGAUACGACCUUCCUGGAGGGACGUAGGGGGACCUGGAACUUCCGGUGGAGCGGUGAAAUGCGUUGAGAUCGGAAGGAACGCCCGUGGCGAAAGCGAGGUCCUGGACGUUUUCUGACGCUGAGACGCGAAAGCCAGGGGAGCAAACGGG